rnacentral:tRNA from 1 species
GGGACUGUGGCUCCAUGGUAGAGCAUGCAUCUUGCAUGUGUGAGGCCCUGGGUUCGAUCCUCAGCACCA